rnacentral:rRNA from 1 species
AGUUCGGAUCGCAGGCUGCAACCCGCCUGCGUGAAGUCGGAAUCGCUAGUAAUCGCGGAUCAGCAUGCCGCGGUGAAUACGUUCCCGGGCCUUGUACACACCGCCCGUCACACCAUGAGAGUUGGGAAUACCCGAAGCCUGUGAGCUAACUUAUAGAGGCAGCAGUCGAAGGUAGAAUCAAUGAUUGGGGUGAAGUCGUAACAAGGUAUC